rnacentral:rRNA from 1 species
GGGUUGUGAGGUUAAGCGACUAAGCGUACACGGUGGAUGCCCUGGCAGUCAGAGGCGAUGAAGGACGUGCUAAUCUGCGAUAAGCGUCGGUAAGGUGAUAUGAACCGUUAUAACCGGCGAUUUCCGAAUGGGGAAACCCAGUGUGAUUCGUCACACUAUCAUUAACUGAAUCCAUAGGUUAAUGAGGCGAACCGGGGGAACUGAAACAUCUAAGUACCCCGAGGAAAAGAAAUCAACCGAGAUUCCCCCAGUAGCGGCGAGCGAACGGGGAGCAGCCCAGAGCCUGAAUCAGUGUGUGUGUUAGUGGAAGCGUCUGGAAAGGCGCGCGAUACAGGGUGACAGCCCCGUACACAAAAAUGCACAUGCUGUGAGCUCGAUGAGUAGGGCGGGACACGUGGUAUCCUGUCUGAAUAUGGGGGGACCAUCCUCCAAGGCUAAAUACUCCUGACUGACCGAUAGUGAACCAGUACCGUGAGGGAAAGGCGAAAAGAACCCCGGCGAGGGGAGUGAAAAAGAACCUGAAACCGUGUACGUACAAGCAGUGGGAGCACGCUUAGGCGUGUGACUGCGUACCUUUUGUAUAAUGGGUCAGCGACUUAUAUUCUGUAGCAAGGUUAACCGAAUAGGGGAGCCGAAGGGAAACCGAGUCUUAACUGGGCGUUAAGUUGCAGGGUAUAGACCCGAAACCCGGUGAUCUAGCCAUGGGCAGGUUGAAGGUUGGGUAACACUAACUGGAGGACCGAACCGACUAAUGUUGAAAAAUUAGCGGAUGACUUGUGGCUGGGGGUGAAAGGCCAAUCAAACCGGGAGAUAGCUGGUUCUCCCCGAAAGCUAUUUAGGUAGCGCCUCGUGAAUUCAUCUCCGGGGGUAGAGCACUGUUUCGGCAAGGGGGUCAUCCCGACUUACCAACCCGAUGCAAACUGCGAAUACCGGAGAAUGUUAUCACGGGAGACACACGGCGGGUGCUAACGUCCGUCGUGAAGAGGGAAACAACCCAGACCGCCAGCUAAGGUCCCAAAGUCAUGGUUAAGUGGGAAACGAUGUGGGAAGGCCCAGACAGCCAGGAUGUUGGCUUAGAAGCAGCCAUCAUUUAAAGAAAGCGUAAUAGCUCACUGGUCGAGUCGGCCUGCGCGGAAGAUGUAACGGGGCUAAACCAUGCACCGAAGCUGCGGCAGCGACGCUUAUGCGUUGUUGGGUAGGGGAGCGUUCUGUAAGCCUGUGAAGGUGUGCUGUGAGGCAUGCUGGAGGUAUCAGAAGUGCGAAUGCUGACAUAAGUAACGAUAAAGCGGGUGAAAAGCCCGCUCGCCGGAAGACCAAGGGUUCCUGUCCAACGUUAAUCGGGGCAGGGUGAGUCGACCCCUAAGGCGAGGCCGAAAGGCGUAGUCGAUGGGAAACAGGUUAAUAUUCCUGUACUUGGUGUUACUGCGAAGGGGGGACGGAGAAGGCUAUGUUGGCCGGGCGACGGUUGUCCCGGUUUAAGCGUGUAGGCUGGUUUUCCAGGCAAAUCCGGAAAAUCAAGGCUGAGGCGUGAUGACGAGGCACUACGGUGCUGAAGCAACAAAUGCCCUGCUUCCAGGAAAAGCCUCUAAGCAUCAGGUAACAUCAAAUCGUACCCCAAACCGACACAGGUGGUCAGGUAGAGAAUACCAAGGCGCUUGAGAGAACUCGGGUGAAGGAACUAGGCAAAAUGGUGCCGUAACUUCGGGAGAAGGCACGCUGAUAUGUAGGUGAAGUCCCUCGCGGAUGGAGCUGAAAUCAGUCGAAGAUACCAGCUGGCUGCAACUGUUUAUUAAAAACACAGCACUGUGCAAACACGAAAGUGGACGUAUACGGUGUGACGCCUGCCCGGUGCCGGAAGGUUAAUUGAUGGGGUCAGCGCAAGCGAAGCUCUUGAUCGAAGCCCCGGUAAACGGCGGCCGUAACUAUAACGGUCCUAAGGUAGCGAAAUUCCUUGUCGGGUAAGUUCCGACCUGCACGAAUGGCGUAAUGAUGGCCAGGCUGUCUCCACCCGAGACUCAGUGAAAUUGAACUCGCUGUGAAGAUGCAGUGUACCCGCGGCAAGACGGAAAGACCCCGUGAACCUUUACUAUAGCUUGACACUGAACAUUGAGCCUUGAUGUGUAGGAUAGGUGGGAGGCUU